rnacentral:rRNA from 1 species
CUCUAUACGGAGUUACAAAGGACGACAUUAGACGAAUCAUCUGGAAAGAUGAAUCAAAGAAGGUAAUAAUCCUGUAGUCGAAAAUGUUGUCUCUCUUGAGUGGAUCCUGAGUACGACGGAGCACGUGAAAUUCCGUCGGAAUCUGGGAGGACCAUCUCCUAAGGCUAAAUACUCUCUAGUGACCGAUAGUGAACCAGUACCGUGAGGGAAAGGUGAAAAGCACCCCGGAAGGGGAGUGAAAUAGAACCUGAAACCGUGUGCUUACAAGUAGUCAGAGCCCGUUAAUGGGUGAUGGCGUGCCUUUUGUAGAAUGAACCGGCGAGUUACGAUUUGAUGCAAGGUUAAGCAGUAAAUGUGGAGCCGUAGCGAAAGCGAGUCUGAAUAGGGCGUUUAGUAUUUGGUCGUAGACCCGAAACCAGGUGAUCUACCCUUGGUCAGGUUGAAGUUCAGGUAACACUGAAUGGAGGACCGAACCGACUUACGUUGAAAAGUGAGCGGAUGAACUGAGGGUAGCGGAGAAAUUCCAAUCGAACCUGGAGAUAGCUGGUUCUCUCCGAAAUAGCUUUAGGGCUAGCCUCAAGUGAUGAUUAUUGGAGGUAGAGCACUGUUUGGACGAGGGGCCCCUCUCGGGUUACCGAAUUCAGACAAACUCCGAAUGCCAAUUAAUUUAACUUGGGAGUCAGAACAUGGGUGAUAAGGUCCGUGUUCGAAAGGGAAACAGCCCAGACCACCAGCUAAGGUCCCAAAAUAUAUGUUAAGUGGAAAAGGAUGUGGCGUUGCCCAGACAACUAGGAUGUUGGCUUAGAAGCAGCCAUCAUUUAAAGAGUGCGUAAUAGCUCACUAGUCGAGUGACACUGCGCCGAAAAUGUACCGGGGCUAAACAUAUUACCGAAGCUGUGGAUUGUCCUUUGGACAAUGGUAGGAGAGCGUUCUAAGGGCGUUGAAGCAUGAUCGUAAGGACAUGUGGAGCGCUUAGAAGUGAGAAUGCCGGUGUGAGUAGCGAAAGACGGGUGAGAAUCCCGUCCACCGAUUGACUAAGGUUUCCAGAGGAAGGCUCGUCCGCUCUGGGUUAGUCGGGUCCUAAGCUGAGGCCGACAGGCGUAGGCGAUGGAUAACAGGUUGAUAUUCCUGUACCACCUAUAAUCGUUUUAAUCGAUGGGGGGACGCAGUAGGAUAGGCGAAGCGUGCGAUUGGAUUGCACGUCUAAGCAGUAAGGCUGAGUAUUAGGCAAAUCCGGUACUCGUUAAGGCUGAGCUGUGAUGGGGAGAAGACAUUG